GGCAUGGCGGCAGCUACACAUGCAGUCGAGCGGAUGAAGGGAGCUUGCUCCUGGAUUCAGCGGCGGACGGGUGAGUAAUGCCUAGGAAUCUGCCUGGUAGUGGGGGAUAACGUCCGGAAACGGGCGCUAAUACCGCAUACGUCCUGAGGGAGAAAGUGGGGGAUCUUCGGACCUCACGCUAUCAGAUGAGCCUAGGUCGGAUUAGCUAGUUGGUGGGGUAAAGGCCUACCAAGGCGACGAUCCGUAACUGGUCUGAGAGGAUGAUCAGUCACACUGGAACUGAGACACGGUCCAGACUCCUACGGGAGGCAGCAGUGGGGAAUAUUGGACAAUGGGCGAAAGCCUGAUCCAGCCAUGCCGCGUGUGUGAAGAAGGUCUUCGGAUUGUAAAGCACUUUAAGUUGGGAGGAAGGGCAGUAAGUUAAUACCUUGCUGUUUUGACGUUACCAACAGAAUAAGCACCGGCUAACUUCGUGCCAGCAGCCGCGGUAAUACGAAGGGUGCAAGCGUUAAUCGGAAUUACUGGGCGUAAAGCGCGCGUAGGUGGUUCAGCAAGUUGGAUGUGAAAUCCCCGGGCUCAACCUGGGAACUGCAUCCAAAACUACUGAGCUAGAGUACGGUAGAGGGUGGUGGAAUUUCCUGUGUAGCGGUGAAAUGCGUAGAUAUAGGAAGGAACACCAGUGGCGAAGGCGACCACCUGGACUGAUACUGACACUGAGGUGCGAAAGCGUGGGGAGCAAACAGGAUUAGAUACCCUGGUAGUCCACGCCGUAAACGAUGUCUACUAGCCUUUGGGGAUCCUUGAGAUCUUAGUGGCGCAGCUAACGCGAUAAGUCGACCGCCUGGUGGAGUACGGCCGCACCGGUUAAAACUCAAAUGAAUUUGACGUGGCGCCCGCACAAACCGCUGGAGCAUGUGGUUUUACUUCGAAUCAACCGCGAAAACCCUUACCUGCCCUUGACAUGCUGAGACUUUCCAGAGAUGGAUUGGCUGCUGUUCUG
rnacentral:rRNA from 1 species